GUUGGGAAUGAACUAAUUGUGCUAUAGAAUAUUGAGGAAGAUAGAGAAAUGGAAAUCCCGGCCUUCAACAUUAGGAGUUUAUAGUUAUUGUUUAGGGCGUAUUGAUGUCAAAAGUAAUGUAUCGAUAUCGUUUAUAUAAUGUACUAUCAAAUGCUUGGAAUGCCCGAGGACAUGAAAAGUUCGCGGAAAGAAAGUAUAUGUUAAAAUGAGAUUUUGUGCAUAAAGAGCAAUCCAAUCAUUCAGAGUUUGCUCAUUUAUUUGUGGGGUGGCGCGCCAGUACACUGUACUCCGGAUCGAGCAUACUGGGUUCCAGCCCUAGUAAGGAUUAUUGCAUUGUGUUCUUGGGCAAGACACUAGUUUCACAGUGCCCUUCUCCACUCAGGUGUAUAAAUGGAUAGCAACGAGUUGUAGGGGCAACCUCACAGAACGGUAGGAAGUAACUGAUCUGCGAUGGACUAGCAUCCCACCCAGGGGGAGUAGCAAUUCUCCUAAAUUUCAAGUUGGGCUUAUUGCUGGGAUAUUGGUAUUGUUGGGCUUAAUGUUUGGGUAUUUGUUAGUUAACUGAUUAACUCCAUGUCUUUGAGAACACGCCAAAAAUGCUAUUGUAACUGAAGAUGUUAUUGUUUUUUCCGGCUAUAGCUCAAAGCUGCGGAACAUAUUAGGAGAAAUUUGGCGGAAGCUAAAGAAAUCGCUCUUCCUGAUGAGGUUAAAAAAUCCCUUCUGUCACAAUCAUGUGACGCCAAAGAGGUUAUACUUCAACUACAGCUGAAGCAAGCUUCUCUGGAACAACCAGAUUGUGAGACCAAGGCAUUGAUCCGUUGCUUGGCAAGGAAAUCUAAAGAUUCAGACAGGCAUGACGUGUUCCAACAUUUGAGAAAGAUUACACCAGCUGGAACUACUGGCCCUCUUUUGUCUGAGCAACUUGAUGUUCGAAAUAUCCCUGUUUCCAAGGGAAGAAAGGUUACAAUUAACUUGUGCGGUAAGUGUUACUUUUUUGUGUAGAACAAAUAGUACCAUAUCCUAAACUUAAAGCCAAUCAUGUUCAAACAAAAUUAUUCAAAGUUAGUUUAGAGUAAUCGACUGGGUGAAGGUACUUCUGAAAAUUAAAAAAAGACUCUUGUUGCCUAUGAGCUAGAAACCACAGAAUUGAGUGGGACUUUGGUAGACCAACUUUGAACAAACGCCUCUCAAAUUUCAACAGUCACGGCUGACUUGCAUCUUACAAACGACUUAUUCACGACCUGAACAAAACCAACGUAGGGAUAUAAAAAAGAACGACUUAAUUUGACUGUCAAUAGGCAGCCAACGACAUCACGGAGAACUUACCAACAUUUGCCGGUCAAUGACAAUGAU